UGGGGAAUUUUGGACAAUGGGGGCAACCCUGAUCCAGCCAUGCCGCGUGAGUGAAGAAGGCCUUCGGGUUGUAAAGCUCUUUCGGCCGGGAAGAAAUCGCACGGGCUAAUACCCUGUGUGGAUGACGGUACCGGAAUAAGAAGCACCGGCUAACUACGUGCCAGCAGCCGCGGUAAUACGUAGGGUGCGAGCGUUAAUCGGAAUUACUGGGCGUAAAGCGUGCGCAGGCGGUUAUGUAAGACAGAUGUGAAAUCCCCGGGCUCAACCUGGGAACUGCGUUUGUGACUGCAUAACUAGAGUACGGCAGAGGGAGGUGGAAUUCCGCGUGUAGCAGUGAAAUGCGUAGAUAUGCGGAGGAACACCGAUGGCGAAGGCAAUCCCCUGGACCUGUACUGACGCUCAUGCACGAAAGCGUGGGGAGCAAACA
rnacentral:rRNA from 1 species